GGUUGUGUAGUGUAGUGGUAAUCACUCCGGAUUUUGAUAACAUCAAAAUCUUACAUUCCGGCAACCCCGGUUCGAACCCGGGCACGACCU
rfam:Colletotrichum tofieldiae strain 0861 Ct_v4_contig119, whole genome shotgun sequence.